UACAGAGGUCUCGAGCGUUGUUCGGAUUCAUUGGGCGUAAAGGGCGCGUAGGCGGCGGGGUAAGUCUGGUGUGAAAUCUCGGAGCUCAACUCCGAAAUUGCACUGGAUACUGCUCUGCUAGAGGGCUGGAGAGGAGAUCGGAAUUCACGGUGUAGCAGUGAAAUGCGUAGAUAUCGUGAGGAACACCAGUGGCGAAGGCGGCUACCUGGACCGGUUCUGACGCUGAGGCGCGAAAGCGUGGGUAGCAAACAGG
rnacentral:rRNA from 1 species